rnacentral:rRNA from 1 species
AACGAACGCUGGCGGCAGGCUUAACACAUGCAAGUCGAACGGUUGUAGCAAUACAGCAGUGGCGCACGGGUGAGUAACGCGUGGAUAUCUGCCUUUUGGUUCGGAAUAACUCCGGGAAACUUGAGCUAAUACCGGAUGGUUCCUACGGGAUAAAGAUUUAUCGCCAAAAGAUGAGUCCGCGUACGAUUAGCUAGUUGGCGGGGUAAUGGCCCACCAAGGCGACGAUCGUUAGCUGGUCUGAGAGGACGAUCAGCCACACUGGGACUGAGACACGGCCCAGACUCCUACGGGAGGCAGCAGUGGGGAAUAUUGGACAAUGGGGGCAACCCUGAUCCAGCCAUGCCGCGUGAGUGAUGAAGGCCUUCGGGUUGUAAAGCUCUUUUGGCGGGGACGACGAUGACGGUACCCGCAGAAUAAGCCCCGGCUAACUUCGUGCCAGCCGCCGCCGUAAAAC